UCCUGGCUCAGAACGAACGCUGGCGGCAGGCUUAACACAUGCAAGUCGAACGGUCUCUUCGGAGGCAGUGGCAGACGGGUGAGUAACGCGUGGGAAUCUACCUUUUGCUACGGAACAACAGUUGGAAACGACUGCUAAUACCGUAUGUGCCCUUCGGGGGAAAGAUUUAUCGGCAAAGGAUGAGCCCGCGUUGGAUUAGCUAGUUGGUAGGGUAAAGGCCUACCAAGGCGACGAUCCAUAGCUGGUCUGAGAGGAUGAUCAGCCACACUGGGACUGAGACACGGCCCAGACUCCUACGGGAGGCAGCAGUGGGGAAUAUUGGACAAUGGGCGCAAGCCUGAUCCAGCCAUGCCGCGUGAGUGAUGAAGGCCCUAGGGUUGUAAAGCUCUUUCACCGGUGAAGAUAAUGACGGUAACCGGAGAAGAAGCCCCGGCUAACUUCGUGCCAGCAGCCGCGGUAAUACGAAGGGGGCUAGCGUUGUUCGGAUUUACUGGGCGUAAAGCGCACGUAGGCGGACUUUUAAGUCAGGGGUGAAAUCCCGGGGCUCAACCCCGGAACUGCCUUUGAUACUGGAAGUCUUGAGUAUGGUAGAGGUGAGUGGAAUUCCGAGUGUAGAGGUGAAAUUCGUAGAUAUUCGGAGGAACACCAGUGGCGAAGGCGGCUCACUGGACCAUUACUGACGCUGAGGUGCGAAAGCGUGAGGAGCAAACAGGAUUAGAUACCCUGAUAGUCCACGCCGUACACGAUGAGUGUUAGCCGUUGGGGAGUUUACUCUUCGGUGGCGCAGCUAACGCAUUAACAUUCCGCCUGUGAGUACGGUCGCAGAUAUACUCAAGAUGACGGGGCCCGCACAGCGUGAGCAUGUGUUAAUCGAGCACGCGCAGACCUACAGCCUGACUACGUCCGAACAAGAUGUGUCUUCAAUCGCUGGACAGAUACAAGCUGCUAGCGUCGUCAAUCCUGGUCGUGAAGAUGGGUAUACGCGAAUUCGACACUCCCUCUAAUGCCGCAGUAUAGGCCUAGAGCGUCUGCUUAUAUACGAGAGGGUAAU
rnacentral:rRNA from 1 species